GAAAUGCGAUAAGUAAUGUGAAUUGCAGAAUUCAGUGAAUCAUCGAAUCUUUGAACGCACCUUGCGCUCCUUGGUAUUCCUUGGAGCAUGCCUGUUUGAGUAUCAUGAAAUCUUCAAAGUAAAUCUUUUGUUAACUCAAUUGGUUUCUACUUUGGUAUUGGAGGUCUUUGCAGCUUCACACCUGCUCCUCUUUGUUCAUUAGCUGGAUCUCAGUGUUAUGCUUGGUUCCACUCGGCGUGAUAAGUUAUCUAUCGCUGAGGACACUGUAAAAGGUGGCCAAGGUAAAUGCAGAUGAACCGCUUCUAAUAGUCCAUUGACUUGGACAAUACUUUUAUGAUCUAGUCUCAAAUCAGGUAGUACUACCCGCUGAACUUAAGC
rnacentral:misc_RNA from 1 species